rnacentral:hammerhead_ribozyme from 1 species
GAACCGCUGAGGAGUCCCACAAUAGGACGAAACGGUUGUCCAAUGC